CUACCUAAAAGCGAUCGAGCACUUGAGCUCUAUGCGACUCGGAUUCAAGGACGUCGAAAUGUUUCUGUUCAGGCCGGAAGUGAAUGUGCUGCUGAACUUGGUCGGCUUGCAUUACUGCAUGCACUGGCUUGAAGUGCCAGCUGAGCAUGUCAUGGAAGCGCUUCAGAAUAGCAAGAUCUCACAACAUCAAGUGAGUGUCAAAUGGUGGAAGCUCGGCAAAUUAUUCUAUGGCUUCCGAAUGCGAGACGAGUCUCAUUCUCGUUCAGUUUCCCUGCAAGAUCUAGCAUUGCGUCAGGAAAAUGAGGUCCUCAGCGUGCUUCAUUGAGGUGCCAUUCAUGAGGUCCUUCGCGUCCAAAUUUCCGUAUUCCAUUCUACUAGCACUUCCUGGUCUUUCCCAGAGCGCGCAAGUCUGUGAUCAACGAUGAUUGAUAUAGACAUCUGGUUGUACCACAGAAUUAUGAUCAUGCUGGAAGUCAGUGGCUAUUAU